rnacentral:lncRNA from 10 species
AGAAAUAGCGGUGGAGGAGGAGAGAGCAGGGUCGCUCAGUGGGACCAGGAAGCCAGCUUACUUUCAUUUUUUGAAGCUCCUUAUAUACAGAAAAAACAAAUUUAUUUUUUCAUUUCACAUUUGACAAAUACUUUCAGCACCCCAAGAUUAAAAUGUAAUGUAGAUGUGCUGUCACCAGGUGAUUGGAUUUCUUUCUUUCUUUUUUUUUUUUUUUUGAGACGGAGUCUCACUCUGUCAUUAGGCUGGAGUGAAGUGGUGCGAUCUCAGCUCACUGCAACCUCCGUCUCCCAAGUUCAAGUGAUUCUCCUUGCCUCAGCCUCCCAAGUAGCUAGGAUUACAGGUGCCCACCACCACGCCUGGCUAAUUUUUUUGUAUUUUUAGUAGAGACGGGUUUUCACUAUGUUGGCCAGGCUGGUCUCAAACUCCUGACCUCCUGAUCCACCUGCCUCGGCCUCCGAAAGUGCUGGGAUUACAGGCGUGAGCUGCCGCGUUGGGCCGUGAUUGGAUUUCUUAAAAGCCAGUUAAUGAAACUGCAAGCAGAAGCCACCAUACACCUAUCAGAAUAACUAAAAACAAAAAUGAAAACAAAGGUGGCCAUCCUAAGUGCCCGUGAGCAUGGGAAACUGGGACUCUCAUACCUUGUUAUUGGGAAGGCAAAUGGGCCAGUCACUUUGGAAAAAACUGGGCAGUUUCUUAUAUAUUUAAACACAUACUGACCAUAAAACCCAGAAAUCUCACUCCUAGGUAUGUAUAUAAGAGAAAUGAAACAUAUGUUUUAUUUUUAACCACCAAAACCUAGAAAAACCCAAAUUCCUUCAACUGAUGAAUGGAUGGAUAAAUUGCAAAGGAGCCAUUUUUGUAAUACUUGCCACCAAUAAAAAGAAUGGACUGGGGCCGGACGUGGUGGCUCAUGCCUGUAAUCCCAGCACUUUGGGAGUCCAAGGCAGGUGGAUCACCUGAGGUUGGGAGUUCAAGACCAGCCUGACCAACAUGGAGAAACCUCGUCUCUACUAAAAAUACAAAAUUAGCUGGGCAUGGUGGCACAUGCCUGUAAUCCCAGCUAUUCGGGAGGCUGAGGCAGGAAAAU